AGCGUCUCUGCCUGGCUGCCCAUUGUCUGGGACGUGAGCAGCCCCUCUGCCUGGCUGCCCAGUCUGGAAAGUGAGGAGCGUCUCUGCCCGGCCGCCAUCCCAUCUAGGAAGUGAGGAGCGCCUCUUCCCACCCGCCAUCCCAUCUAGGAAGUGAGGAGCUUCUCUGCCUGGCCGCCCAUCGUCUGAGAUGUGGGGAGCACCUCUGCCCGGCCGCGACCCCAUUUGGGAGGUGAGGAGCAACUCUGCCCAGCCGCCCCGUCUGAGAAGUGAGGAGACCCUCCGCCUGGCAACCGCCCCGUCUGAUAAGUAAGGAGCCCCUCUGCCCAGCAGCCGCCCCGUCUGAGAAGUGAGGAGCCCCUCUGCCCAGCAGCCACCCUGUCUGGGAAGUGAGGAGCGUCUCCGCCCGGCAGCCACCCAGUCCGGGAGGGAGGUGGGGGGGUCAGUCCCCCGUCCGGCCAGCCGCCCCGUCCGGGAGGUGAGGGGCGCCUCUGCCCAGCUGCCCCUACUGGGAAGUGAGGAGCCCCUCUGCCCCGCCAGCCACCCCGUCCGGGAGGGAGGUGGGGGAUCAGCCCCCCGCCCGGCUAGCCGCCCCGUCCGGGAGGCGAGGGGCGCCUCUGCCCGGCUGCCCCUACUGGGAAGUGAGGAGCCCCUCUGCCCGGCCAGCCGCCCCGUCCAGGAGGGAGGUGGGGGGGUCAGCCCCCCGCCCGGCCAGCCGCCCGGUCCGGGAGGGAGGUGGGGGGGUCAGCCCCCCGCCCGGCCAGCCGCCCCGUCCGGGAGGUUAGGGGCGCCUCUGCCCGGCCGCCCCUACUGGGAAGUGAGGAGCCCCUCUGCCCGGCCACCACCCCGUCUGGGAGGUGUACCCAACAGCUCAUUGAGAGCGGGCGAUGAUGACAGUGGCGGCUUUGUGGAGUGGAGGUGGGGGGAAGGUGGGGAAAAGAUUGAGAAAUCGGAUGGUUGCCGUGUCUGUGUAGAAAGAAGUAGACAUGGGAGACUUUUCAUUUUGUUCUGUACUAAGAAAAAUUCUUACCCUAAAACUUAAAGUAUAAU
rnacentral:lncRNA from 10 species